rnacentral:rRNA from 1 species
CCUACGGGUGGCAGCAGUGAGGAAUAUUGGUCAAUGGACGCAAGUCUGAACCAGCCAUGCCGCGUGCAGGAAGACGGCUCUAUGAGUUGUAAACUGCUUUUGUACGAGGGUAAACGCAGAUACGCGUAUCUGUCUGAAAGUAUCGUACGAAUAAGGACCGGCUAAUUCCGUGCCAGCAGCCGCGGUAAUACGGAAGGUCCGGGCGUUAUCCGGAUUUAUUGGGUGUAAAGGGAGCGUAGGCCGGUCUUUAAGCGUGCCGUGAAAUUUUGUGGCUCAACCAUGGGAGUGCGGCGCGAACUGGAGACCUGGAGUGCGCGGAAGGCAGGCGGAAUUCGUGGUGUAGCGGUGAAAUGCUUAGAUAUCACGAAGAACCCCGAUUGCGAAGGCAGCCUGCCGCAGCGUUACUGACGCUGAAGCUCGAAAGCGCGGGUAUCGAACAGGAUUAGAUACCCUAGUAGUC